AACCACUCGAUUUAAGUUCGGCCACCCCGCAACUUCAAAGUUGCGAUUCGGCCACCUCGGGCAUCCGUUUGCCGAUCCGUCACCACCAUCGUGCUCCUCGUGUUGUGGGCUUCAAAACCCAAUAACUUGUUCCUACAUCUACCAUAGUUGGGUGGUGGGCCCACCACGAGCCACCGCGAUCCACCGUAGACCGACGGUCGAAACUUAGUGUUCGAGGUUCCGAAGUACGUUUUGAGUUUCAGAAAAUCACCGUUUGACUUGUUGUGGAACCCGAUCAUUGUGGAUUUGUAUGGAUUUGAUUGAUUGACUCUUGCUGAGCAAUUUUAAAAUAAGCUAAGGACCUAAGGUGUGGCUUUAGCUGUUGAGCAACUUGUGGAGCACGGACUCAGUAGCAAUGCAA